AGCGAACGCUGGCGGUAUGCUUAACACAUGCAAGUCGAGCGCGAAAGUGACUUCGGUCAUAAGUAGAGCGGCGGACGGGUGAGUAACACGUGGAUAAUCUGCCUUUAGGACUGGGAUAACCCUGGGAAACUAGGGCUAAUACCGGAUAAGACCACAGGUUCCAUGGAACCAGGGGUAAAAGGCGGCCUUCGGGCUGUCGCCGAAAGAUGAGUCCGCGUCCCAUCAGGUAGUUGGUGAGGUAACGGCUCACCAAGCCGAAGACGGGUAGCCGACCUUAGCGGGUGAUCGGCCACACGGGGACUGAGACACGGCCCCGACUCCUAC
rnacentral:rRNA from 1 species